rnacentral:tRNA from 1 species
AUUUAAAUAGUUUAAAAGUUUAAAAACAUUGAUUUGUGGAAUCAAAAUUAUAUUAUAUAUUUUAAAUA